rnacentral:rRNA from 1 species
AACGUAGGAGACAAACGUUAUCCGGAGUUACUGGGCGUAAAGGGCGUGUAGGCGGUCUGUUAAGUCUGGCGUGAAAGCUCUCGGCUAAACCGGGAGAGGUCGUUGGAUACUGGCAGACUAGAGGACGGUAGAGGCGUGUGGAAUUCCGGGUGUAGUGGUGAAAUGCGUAGAGAUCCGGAGGAACACCAGUGGCGAAGGCGACACGCUGGGCCGUACCUGACGCUAAAGCGCGACAGCAUGGGGGAGCAAACGGG